GGCAAAAUGCGUUUUAAGUUUAAGAUUGAAUGUUUUGGGGCUAGGCCAAAUAUUUGAAAGCAAAACUAAAUAAACGUGUUUCUUGUACAUUCUCUCUUAAGAAGAACAAAAAAUCAAGUCUGUUAGUUAAUAAAAAUCAACCCCUGGAAUAUAAAACUAACUGUACUUAAAGAAACAACCACAUUCAAAUGAUCGGAGGAUUCUCCACAAUGGAGUUCUGAGCUUCCAGCCAAUGAGAAAGAAGUUAAACGAACAGGCUCCGCCCCCACAAUACUGCUCUCCUCGCGUGCCCUUUUUCUCUGUCUCUACUCCUGGUUCAUCCUUCAAUCCAUCUGCUCCACUCCCUUAAAUCCCUCCCUUGCAGUGACAGAACAAGGCUGGGAAAGAAAACGACAGAAACAUUAGACGUUCGCUCAAACACACCCUAACCGUGCAGCAAGGGAAGUGUCCAGCUAUCGUUUCCCUCCAUUUCUUCCCAGUGUCCGACACUACGGCAGGCUCCAUUGUAAUAAAUCGAAAGGAAAGCGACACAGCAUAGACGUUCUGUUUGCUCUGGCUCUUGCUCCAGAAACCCCUCGAGGCUGGACUCGCUGUACAAACUUUUUUUCCCUCCGAAUGCAGUGCACUCUCUCUCUCUCUCUCUCUCUCUCUCUCUCUCUCUCUCUCUCUCUUUCCCCCUUGCUCUUCCUCUCGGCGGCUCAACUAAUGAGAGCGCAGAAAGCCUGCGAACUGCGAAAACCUCUUUUCAGCUCUUGAGGACUUGCUCAACACUUCUCUUAGCAGUCUCAGGGGAUUGAGGGAAGACUUGUGACAUUUCAGAAGCUGACGCGUGCGUCUCUGACAGCCUUGUGAAGCCGUGUCCUUCUGUUCGGGCCACUCUUCAUCCAGAUCUGGCAUGGGACGUGACCUGGCACACGGCGGAGGAAAUAACACAGAAAAAGAGGGAGAGAGAAAGAAACGGACGUGAACUAGACUUCGGUCGCUGUCUCUUUAAAGGACUUGAAGGUUUCUUGGCAGCUCAGGGAAGAACUGCAAGUUCAGCCAAAAUUGACAAUAAAGCAAAGGGGAGGAACAUGCCAAAACGAAGGGGGCAACUAGUUCCAGGGGUUCAUUUUUCCUUCAUGAUUCACGCUGGAAAAGAAAGCACUUCCCUGUCCUCAAAUGAACUCUCGCCGCGCUCUGGAGGAGGGGACGGACGGGCACGCGCGCGCGCGCACACAAGCAGAACUGGGUCAACUGCAGAGGAGUCACAAGAAGCGAGAGAGGUAAACAAACCGACCAAAACUCACACGUACAGACAGACACUCAAGGUCAAUGAAAGAGAGUCUUUUUUCUUCAGCUCCCGUCACUAUCUAACCCAACAGCUGCGCGAGUGCGCGUGACUCCACUGUUCGCGCGUGCUUCUGUCCAACUGUCCUGAGGUUGUUCUACUGUAGGGGAAUUAAACUGAAAGGUUUUUUGACACAAGGGAGAUGCCAGAUCACUCCCUGCGCGCGCUGUUUUCUGUAAAGCUGUCUUGACUUUGAAAAAAAGCUCUGCAUUUUGCAUUUGCAGUUGAGGUUUUGUGACUUUGGAACAUCAGUCAAAUCACACUUUUUAUUUUUUUAUUUUUUUAUGCCUUUUUAAAUGAAAUAGAUAAAUGUUCCAUUUAAAAUGUAUUUUUU